CCAAUAUGUUUACACACAGAAUUUCCUUUACAAUCUACCUUCCACAACUUGCUUAAAUCUUCAUCUGUAUUUUAUCCACUUAAAACAAUCCUUUAACCUUUAAAAGGCAAAAAUCCACAUUCUCAUGCCUCCUUAUAAUCUUUUAACCAAAAGAGUGUUUUACUUUCCUUACACACCUUGCAUGUAAACUGUUUCUUCAAUAGUCUUAAAUACAUGUUACACUGUUAACUCUUAGCAACCUUUACUUAUGGUGAAAACCUUGGUAAGUCUGUGAUUUAAUUAUGUGCUAGGUGUGGAGCCUAGGACCCAGACGAAAGUAGAUAAGGUCUUACUUAUUCCAGUGUCUAACUCCAUGUGUCCCAGGCCUUAUCUAGAAUUUAAUACUCCAAAAUAAAUUCACAAUUUUUAAGUCAAAGAAGCAGUUUAUGACCUAAAGCAUUUAGCAAACCUAAUAUUUUACCUGCAUAAUUUAGACCAAAUGUUUAUACUUUUGAAGAUAUUUUAAUUUUACCAAUAGUUUUUAAAACUCUUUAUUUUUAUCACUUUCUUUAUAUCUCUCUUAUAUAUUUUCUGAUUUCUUUUACCUUGUUUUAUAUAUAACCUUUAAAUAAGCUUUGAAUUAGACAAAAAUUACUUGCCCUUUAAAAAGGGCACAAUUUUUAGAAAGAAUAUUUUCCUACAAUAUAUUUUUAUUGGGAAACACCCAAAUAGUGACAAGUUUGUUUAUGAGUAUUUAUCCCAUUACAUUUAUCUAAUUAUUUGUUUUAAUUGUUUACCUAGAUUAUUUAUGAAAAUUGCAAAAGUCAUCAUGUAAAGUUAUAAAACCACCAUUGCAAAAUUAUAACUCAGACAGCGAAAAUGAUCUGACCUAACUGACUCCAUCUUGCUUCUAACCUCCAAGCUAUUCUUGUUCAUUAACUUAGUUUAUACUUUAGCACCGAAACAAAGAUGAUAACAGUCAUCUUUUUUGUUCCCCAGAACAAACUUCCUUCAUGUUUGUGGACUAGGCUGCCUAAGGCCACAAGAUUAGAAGUUAGGGUAUUUUACUAAAUAGUUCAAAAUGUAGCUAUCUUCAUUAAACCAAUAUUACUGUUUCAUUUAUUAAAAAAUUACACAAGCAAAGAUCAUUCUGUUUUGGGCUGAGUUACAGUUUUGUAGCCCCUAUAUCAAAUACCUUAUAGUAUUUGGCAGAGAUAAGUAUGAAAUUCCUUGAUUGAUAACUGCAAACAAAAAUGUAUGCUAGCAACUCUUAAGAUAUUUUUAAUAUUACUUUACCAAUAAUUUUUAAAGCUAGCUUAUUUAUUAAAGAUUUUACUUAAGUCACGUAAACUUGAAAAAGCAUUUGACUAGUCUUUCCUUUUUUCUGUUAAAGUAUUUAAGUGCUUUUAUUUUUCUUUGAGCCAAUUAAUUAGAACUCUUUUAUAUAUUUUCAGUAGUGAAACAUGGUGUGCACAAGACAUAUACAUAGACAUAUUAGGCAUGCCAAUAGAAAUACAUUUUAUUGAUUCAUAAGACCUCCUUUUUCCUAACUGGAUCUUUGAGAUCUGGGCAGGUCCCACACUGAAUCCUGGGUUUUCAAAAAGGGAGAAUUAUUACGAGGCUAGACCAUGUGAUGCUUUUACAGUGCGCUCAAAUUUUUUUCAUAAACAAAGACAUUUCUAAGUGUCUAAAUUACACUUAAUUUUCUUAAAAACCCUAGAGUAGCUUUUGUUGUAAUAGCUAUUAAUGAAGAAAACAGAAUUCAGUCAACUGAGAAGAAAAAAAAAAAGUUUGCUCAAAAAGACAAGGUCCUAGGAAAGAAAUAAAAACAAAAACAUGAAGGCCUUUUAAAUACAAACAUGCACGCAUGUACACGUACAUACACAUAUCUUGGAUGUUAGCUUUAAUUAAGCUGACUUUUAACCAAUGAACUCCUAAAAAAAUAAAAUUCCUUCCUAGAGGCCUCUCAGCAGGAAUGUACCCUAUAACUCCCAUUUUCAAGUUUACAUGGUAUCAAAAGAUUAUUCCUUUUGAUAUUGGUCUAAAUUAUUCCUUACACAAACAAGUGGAGACAAAUUUUGAACAACACAAGGGGGAGUGCACUCAGGCAAAACAGACUCAGAACCAACUCAAAACCUGAUCUCAAUCAAAAUGCAAAGCAGAUAUAUGAGAGAGCCUUAUUGCUUCCCUUGGCGGUAUCAGACAAAUGGCUUACCAAGCCCAGAUAGGAAACAGUAGGCUCCUAGCAUAGAAUCUGGUUAACUCACCCUUUGAGCGCAUCUGCUCCUGAUCUCUGUUUCUCCUCAGUAGUGAAAAGGACAUGCAGAUUUGCGCACAACAGCCCUCUGGAGGGUCCCGGGGGAAACCUCACCCAGCAGCUUCUGGGAUCCUCCUGAAGACUGUCUCAUAGCAAGUUGCCAGCCGCUGAAUGCAGCACUGUCCUUAAUUCCUGGCUUGUGUGCCAAAUUUUUAUCCCGGAUCAAACUGAGGGUCAGGCUGCUAUUUCUCGCGGCACAAUAACAAGAUGCAGAUGAACUGGGGAGGAAGAGAGUUUUUAUUUCUGUAACCGGUUAUAGGGAGAAGACCUGGAAAUUAUCACCAGACCAACUCAAAAUUACAGUUUUCCAAAGCUUAUAUACCUUCUAAGCUAUUCAUCUACAUGGAUGGAGGCACAAAAUACCAGGAAGGAAACAGAUUCUGCCAGUUACAGAGUAUUGACAACACUCUGUCACUCCGAAAAGGCAGACUCAACUCCAGAAAAGCUGGAGUGCAAUGAAUGGUGCAAUCUCAGCUCACCACAACCUCCACCUCCUAGGUUCAAGCGAUUCUCCUGCCUCAGCCUCUCAAGUAACUGG
rnacentral:lncRNA from 10 species